rnacentral:rRNA from 3 species
AGAGUUUGAUCCUGGCUCAGGAUGAACGCUAGCUACAGGCUUAACACAUGCAAGUCGAGGGGCAGCAUGGUCUUAGCUUGCUAAGGCCGAUGGCGACCGGCGCACGGGUGAGUAACACGUAUCCAACCUGCCGUCUACUCUUGGACAGCCUUCUGAAAGGAAGAUUAAUACAAGAUGGCAUCAUGAGUCCGCAUGUUCACAUGAUUAAAGGUAUUCCGGUAGACGAUGGGGAUGCGUUCCAUUAGAUAGUAGGCGGGGUAACGGCCCACCUAGUCUUCGAUGGAUAGGGGUUCUGAGAGGAAGGUCCCCCACAUUGGAACUGAGACACGGUCCAAACUCCUACGGGAGGCAGCAGUGAGGAAUAUUGGUCAAUGGGCGAGAGCCUGAACCAGCCAAGUAGCGUGAAGGAUGACUGCCCUAUGGGUUGUAAACUUCUUUUAUAAAGGAAUAAAGUCGGGUAUGCAUACCCGUUUGCAUGUACUUUAUGAAUAAGGAUCGGCUAACUCCGUGCCAGCAGCCGCGGUAAUACGGAGGAUCCGAGCGUUAUCCGGAUUUAUUGGGUUUAAAGGGAGCGUAGAUGGAUGUUUAAGUCAGUUGUGAAAGUUUGCGGCUCAACCGUAAAAUUGCAGUUGAUACUGGAUAUCUUGAGUGCAGUUGAGGCAGGCGGAAUUCGUGGUGUAGCGGUGAAAUGCUUAGAUAUCACGAAGAACUCCGAUUGCGAAGGCAGCCUGCUAAGCUGCAACUGACAUUGAGGCUCGAAAGUGUGGGUAUCAAACAGGAUUAGAUACCCUGGUAGUCCACACGGUAAACGAUGAAUACUCGCUGUUUGCGAUAUACGGCAAGCGGCCAAGCGAAAGCGUUAAGUAUUCCACCUGGGGAGUACGCCGGCAACGGUGAAACUCAAAGGAAUUGACGGGGGCCCGCACAAGCGGAGGAACAUGUGGUUUAAUUCGAUGAUACGCGAGGAACCUUACCCGGGCUUAAAUUGCAGAUGAAUUACGGUGAAAGCCGUAAGCCGCAAGGCAUCUGUGAAGGUGCUGCAUGGUUGUCGUCAGCUCGUGCCGUGAGGUGUCGGCUUAAGUGCCAUAACGAGCGCAACCCUUGUUGUCAGUUACUAACAGGUUCCGCUGAGGACUCUGACAAGACUGCCAUCGUAAGAUGUGAGGAAGGUGGGGAUGACGUCAAAUCAGCACGGCCCUUACGUCCGGGGCUACACACGUGUUACAAUGGGGGGUACAGAGGGCCGCUACCACGCGAGUGGAUGCCAAUCCCCAAAACCUCUCUCAGUUCGGACUGGAGUCUGCAACCCGACUCCACGAAGCUGGAUUCGCUAGUAAUCGCGCAUCAGCCACGGCGCGGUGAAUACGUUCCCGGGCCUUGUACACACCGCCCGUCAAGCCAUGGGAGCCGGGGGUACCUGAAGUGCGUAACCGCGAGGAGCGCCCUAGGGUAAAACUGGUGACUGGGGCUAAGUCGUAACAAGGUAGCCGUACCGGAAGGUGCGGCUG